ensembl:lncRNA
GUUACGACUGUUGCUCAGAGAAUUUAAUUAAAUGGAAAACAUUCGGACGAAGGAGAGAAAUGUGAUCCGGCUGACAGUCGGCGAGAGCAAAAGGGGGUUCGGCGCUUUGGUCAACUAGUUCACCUCCUCGUCUAACGUGAGCUGGAUGUUGCAGAUCUGUCUUUGAAGGAGGCCCCGGUGUCUCGCAGCUGAUUUCACAGAUUUAGUCAUAAUCUGGUAUUGUCUGCCUUAAAAUAACACGAGAGACUAUUUUAUCCGGGAAGAGGAUUUGGGGAACAUCCACUCGUCCGACGUGUAAGCGGC